AGCAUAUCAAUAAGCGGAGGAAAAGAAACCAACAGGGAUUGCCUCAGUAGCGGCGAGUGAAGCGGCAAGAGCUCAGAUUUGAAAUCGUGCUUUGCGGCACGAGUUGUAGAUUGCAGGUUGGAGUCUGUGUGGAAGGCGGUGUCCAAGUCCCUUGGAACAGGGCGCCCAGGAGGGUGAGAGCCCCGUGGGAUGCCCGCGGAAGCAGUGAGGCCCUUCUGACGAGUCGAGUUUGUUUGGGAAUGCAGCUCCAAGCGGGUGGUAAAUUCCAUCUAAGGCUAAAUACUGGCGAGAGACCGAUAGCGAACAAGUACUGUGAAGGAAAGAUGAAAAGCACUUUGAAAAGAGAGUGAAACAGCACGUGAAAUUGUUGAAAGGGAAGGGUAUUGCGCCCGACAUGGGGAUUGCGCACCGCUGCCUCUCGUGGGCGGCGCUCUGGGCUUUCCCUGGGCCAGCAUCGGUUCUUGCUGCAGGAGAAGGGGUUCUGGAACGUGGCUCUUCGGAGUGUUAUAGCCAGGGCCAGAUGCUGCGUGCGGGGACCGAGGACUGCGGCCGUGUAGGUCACGGAUGCUGGCAGAACGGCGCAAC
rnacentral:rRNA from 1 species